GACAAACGCUGGCGGCAUGCCUAACACAUGCAAGUCGAACGGACAGAACAGGGAAGCUUUUCGGAGUGGAACUGGAAAGUUAGUGGCGGAUGGGUGAGUAACGCGUGGACAACCUACCUUGUAAAGGGGAAUAACCUCGAGAAAUCGAAGCUAAUACCCCAUAAUAACCUUGCUUCGCAUGAAGUAAGGAGGAAAGGCGGCCUUAGCGCUGUCGAUACAAGAUGGGUCCGCGUCUGAUUAGCUAGUUGGUGAGGUAAAGGCUCACCAAGGCGACGAGCAGUAGCCGGCCUGAGAGGGUGGACGGCCACAUUGGGACUGAGACACGGCCCAAACUCCUACGGGAGGCAGCAGUGGGGAAUCUUACGCAAUGGGCGAAAGCCUGACGGAGCAAUGCCGCGUGAGUGAAGAAGGACUUCGGGUUGUAAAACUCUGUCCUUAUCGAAGAGAGAGUGUUGUAGUAACUGACAAUACUAGGACGGUAGAUGAGGAAGAAGCCCCGGCUAACUAUGUG
rnacentral:rRNA from 1 species